rnacentral:snRNA from 1 species
GGAUCUGAGGGCAGUCUGGCUGUGACGUUGGUCACUCCAUUGAUCACCAGGGUUGAUUUGGCUGAUUUGGCUGGCUGGGGGGGGGGGGGGGGUCCCCUUCCUCCCUUACUGCUGCAUGUGCCUGUCCCUCCCUGAAGCUGCAUGCUAGAUGGAAGAAGAUGACCUUCCCUGAUAGAGUGAAGGACUGUUCUUUGGCCGAGGGUAUACAAGUGGCCGCACUCCUCUGCUAGAACCGCCAACCAAGCUCUCAGGGUCCAUUUACAGGAGAAUGUAGGGUAGUCAAGCUUCCAAGACUCCAGAUAUAUCCAAACGAGGCGCUGCACGUGGACGUUAGCCUUUCUUA